rnacentral:rRNA from 1 species
AUUGAACGCUGGCGGCAGGCCUAACACAUGCAAGUCGAACGAGUGGCGGACGGGUGAGUAAUGUCUGGGAAACUGCCUGAUGGAGGGGGAUAACUUCCGGAAACGGGCGCUAAUCCCGCAUACCAUCAGAUGUGCCCAGUUGGGAUUAGCUAGUUGGUGGGGUAAAGGCUUACCAAGGCGACGAUCCGUAGCUGGUCUGAGAGGAUGACCAGCCACACUGGAACUGAGACACGGUCCAGACUCCUACGGGAGGCAGCAGUGGGGAAUAUUGGACAAUGGGCGAAAGCCUGAUCCAGCCAUGCCGCGUGUGUGAAGAAGGUCUUCGGAUUGUAAAGUACUUUCAGUGGGGAGGCGUUACCCACAGAAGAAGCACCGGCUAACUCCGUGCCAGCAGCCGCGGUAAUAC